CCUACGGGAGGCAGCAGUGAGGAAUAUUGGUCAAUGGACGGAAGUCUGAACCAGCCAUGCCGCGUGCAGGAAGACGGCUCUAUGAGUUGUAAACUGCUUUUGUACAAGGGUAAACCUGAAUACGUGUAUUCAGCUGAAAGUACUGUACGAAUAAGGAUCGGCUAACUCCGUGCCAGCAGCCGCGGUAAUACGGAGGAUCCAAGCGUUAUCCGGAUUUAUUGGGUUUAAAGGGUGCGUAGGCGGAUUGAUAAGUUAGUGGUGAAAUGUCCGGGCUUAACUCGGGAACUGCCUCUAAUACUGUUGGUCUAGAGAGUAGAUGCGGUAGGCGGAAUGUAUGGUGUAGCGGUGAAAUGCUUAGAGAUCAUACAGAACACCGAUUGCGAAGGCAGCUUACCAAUCUAUAUCUGACGUUGAGGCACGAAAGCGUGGGGAGCAAACAGGAUUAGAUACCCGGGUAGUC
rnacentral:rRNA from 1 species